GACGAACGCUGGCGGCGUGCCUAAUACAUGCAAGUCGUGCGGUCCUGCCUCGGCAGGAUAGCGGCGAACGGGUGAGUAACACGUGGGUAACCUGCCCUCAAGACCGGGAUAACUCCGGGAACCCGGAGCUAAUAACGGAUAACCUUCUUCUCCGCAUGGCGGAGCAGUAAAAGGUCUCGUGACACUUGAGGAUGGGCCGGCGGCGGAUUAGCUAGUUGGUGAGGUAACGGCUAACCAAGGCGACGAGGCGUAGCCGGCCUGAGAGGGUGACCGGCCACACUGGGACUGAGACACGGCCCAGACUCCUACGGGAGGCAGCAGUGGGGAAUAUUGGACAAUGGGGGCAACCCUGAUCCAGCCAUGCCGCGUGAGUGAUGAAGGCCUUAGGGUUGUAAAGCUCUUUCGCCGGUGAAGAUAAUGACGGUAACCGGAGAAGAAGCCCCGGCUAACUUCGUGCCAGCAGCCGCAGUAACAC
rnacentral:rRNA from 1 species